CCUACGGGGGGCUGCAGUGGGGAAUUUUGGACAAUGGGGGCAACCCUGAUCCAGCCAUGCCGCGUGCGGGAAGAAGGCCUUCGGGUUGUAAACCGCUUUUGUCAGGAGAGAAAUCUCUUGGGCUAAUACCCUGAGAGGAUGACGGUACCUGAAGAAUAAGCACCGGCUAACUACGUGCCAGCAGCCGCGGUAAUACGUAGGGUGCAAGCGUUAAUCGGAAUUACUGGGCGUAGUUGGUGCAGAGGCGGUUGAAAGCCCCGGGCUGAACCUGGGAACUGCACUUGUGACUGCACGGCUAGAGUACGGCAGAGGUGGAUGGAAUUCCGCGUGUAGCAGUGAAAUGCGUAGAUAUGCGGAGGAACACCGAUGGCGAAGGCAGUCCCCUGGGCCUGUACUGACGCUCAUGCACGAAAGCGUGGGGAGCAAACAGGAUUAGAUACCCUAGUAGUC
rnacentral:rRNA from 1 species